GUGCCAGCCGCCGCGGUAAUACGUAGGGGGCAAGCGUUAUCCGGAAUUAUUGGGCGUAAAGAGUACGUAGGUGGUCUUUUAAGCGCAGGGUUUAAGGCAAUGGCUUAACCAUUGUUCGCCCUGUGAACUGGAAGACUUGAGUGUAGGAGAGGAAAGUGGAAUUCCUAGUGUAGCGGUGAAAUGCGUAGAUAUUAGGAGGAACAUCAGUGGCGAAGGCGACUUUCUGGACUAUUACUGACACUGAGGUACGAAAGCGUGGGGAGCAAACAGGAUUAGAUACCCCCGUAGUCC
rnacentral:rRNA from 1 species